UCACGUUAAAGGAAACUAAAUAGAUGUAUGCGCGUGUGUAUGUAGCCAGCCAUGCUCCUCGUACAGUUGAUCCACGAAUGCGCACAUCGUGUAACGUGGACCGUGAUGGUGGUAGCGUCGAUGAUGGUGGGGUAGGAUGGUGUGGUCGUGACGGUGGUAGUGGUAGCGCUUACCAGGCCGACCGACCGUCCGUCGUCACUUGUGCGCGCAGCGCGCAGACAAGAUGGCGGUAGUAUACCGUGUUUUCGAACGGUAUGAAAGUUAAAUUGAUCAUUUCGCGGGAAAAAUGCAAAAAAAAAAAAAAAAAAGAAGAUGAUGAUGAUGAUGACAAUAAUGAUUAUGAAACUAAAUUAAACUAAACUAAACUUCCGGGUUCUAUGACUCAUUUCCUUGUAUUCUCUUCCUAACUUGAUCUUAUCUAUCACACGAGUGGGCCGUAAACUUUACCACUGGAACGAAAGACCGAAAAAUGUGUGCUCCUCCGUAUAAUAAUAGAAUGUUGUAUAUAUAUAUGUAAUAGAAUUGAGGAGAUUUAUAUUAUAUUUGGAAUUUAAUAUGAUCCAUUUAAAUCUUAUACGUUAUUAAAAGAACCUAUAAAAAAAUGAAGAAAAAAAUCUGGGUAAAUCUAAAAAAAAAAAAAAAAAAAAAAAAUACGUAAAAAUUUAUGAAAUUUAAUACGAUCAAUUCAAAUUGUGUUAUUAAAAGUACUUAAAAAAAUGGAUCUGGCAGAAAAGAAAAGAAAAAAAAAAAAUAAAGAAUAAAAAGGGGCCAUAGGAAUCUACGAAACUUAAUAGAAUCAAUUCAAAUCGUAUAUGCUAUCAAAAGUGAUCGAAUAAACAAAAAAAAGAACCUAGAGUUUUAAAAGAGUAUAGAGUUUUAAAAACAAAAA